UGUCUGUCUGUCUGUCUCUCUCUGUGUCUCUGUCUCUGUCUCUCUCUGUCUCUCUGUCUCCCUAUUCCCCCCCCAGUGUUGAGGAAGGGUCAGGUGGUGACCGGGUACUACCGUUGGCUCCAGAGGAGAGGGGGUUAUCUGUGGGUCCAGUCCUGUGCCACCGUCUCCAUCAACCACAAAGCCCCCCACGAACGCAACGUCAUCUGGGUCAACUACAUCAUCAGUCGAACAGAGCUCCCAGACACUCCCCUGGAUCUGCUGCAGCUCCCAGAGAGUCUGAGGGCGGAGCGUCUGAAAGCCAGCUCCUCCCCUUCGGAACUCACACCACAAGCCCGGGGUCCACAGCCAAUGAAAAGCUCUGUGUGUAAAGGUGACCCUGACUCUAAACUGAGAGAGAUCUAUAAUCCCGGAGUCCAAUCAGGGGACAGGAGGAAGCGUCCGCUGCGGUCUGACUCUGAAGGCGCUCCCCCAGAAACGCGGCGUCGCCUGGAAGAGUUCCGCCAGAGAGAGGGGAGUGUGUCCGCCUCCUCAGACCUGGGCAGUGAGAGCGAGGGAGAGGGGAGAGCCUGGGAGCAGGGGGGAGACAGCGCGAGGGUCAAACGAGAGGAGGGGCCUUCGAAACGAGGUGGGGAGACCCCAGUGAGGGGCGGCGGGGUGCACAACGGCCGUGCGGUAAUCCAGCACCUGAAGAGUGUAGUGUCCUCGCCUCUCUCUGGUCCCCACAACAUCAAGACUGAACAUGAGGCACUGGCUGCAGGGGGUCGCUGGACACACACACACACCUCCUCACACACACAACCCCCACCCUCGCACACACACACCCCUUGCGGCAGCCUGAACGGCGACAGUCCCCCGACCCCUAUCCCGGACUCCUCCUCCAGCAGUGAAGCCCCACCCAAAGGUAUUUUCACCCCGCCCUCCCCCGCCAUGUCUCCUCCCAUGUCCGGCUCCUCCCCUCUACCCUGUGAGGAGCGGGGAAUGUUGUCUGGAGGCCGGGUGGGCGGGCCUGACUUUGAGCUGUUGCAGAGACUGGCAGCGGGGGGUGCUGCAGGACGGGUGCUGUUCCACCCCCUGACCCUCGGCCCCCAGGGGCCACAGAGCCUGUACGCCCCCAGUACCAUCCGCUAUGCGCCCCCAGAGCUGCCCCCCUCCCACCCCGGUGCUGAGGGGCUGCGCGCCGACCACCACAAGGGCCCCCCAGCCUUCUUCCCCCACCUCCAGAGGCUGGCCGGCCUGCCCUCCUUCAGUGGGUUCUCCGGCUCGGACAAUCCCUUCAACCCCUUCUGUAUGAACGGACUGAGGGGGGCCGCAGGGUCGGAGGAGGACUGAAAGAGAGGAGGGGCUAGAGAGAGAGACAUGGGGGGCAGGACAUUGGAACAUAUGGGGUUGGGAAACUGAAGAAAGGACCAUUUGCACUGCUUCCGUUGGGGAGUCAGAUGGUGUCCGACACAGGCGACAGGAUGGGUGACACUCAAAGUGGACUUUGACACUUGACUUUACCCCACUAGCUGUCCAAGCUUUGUCCCCCUCUCUGCUCUACCACAUCCUCUCUCCGCUGCUGUUAAAUGACUGUGCAGUGUUCCAUGUCUAAAGCCAUAUUGUACAUAGAGACAGAGCCAUGACAUACCUUCACUACUCCUUCCUCAGUAUUAUAACAACUGCUCCUGAGUCUGUGUGACUGAAGGAGAAAGAAAAAAAAGGGGGGGGGGAAAUGGAUGACAUUUUUUUCACUUGUUUGUGUGAAAUACUGAAUCGUCUCUUAAACAGAGUUAGAAACUAUAUUCUGACACAAUAGUGGAAAUAUCGAGGUCUGAGCCGAUCUCAUGGACGCCCAAAAUAAUAUCCGAACACAUCUCGGGUACUCCUUCCUUCCAUAAAGGGAACCCCGCUGAAGAGGGUUUGUAACACUGAAAGCACAGAGGAGUGAGAGAGUCCCAGAUGACAUUCCAUUCCACUCUGAGACUGUUCUGUCUGGGGAAGAAAGGUAUGGGAGGGAGAACGUACAAUACCUCUACUGGCUGGUCACUUUGUAAUGUUUUCAGUCUUGUAAAAACUGGAAAAAUGGUCCUACAGAAUGAAAAGACGCUGGGCUGUGCUGUGUAUGAGAUGAAAGCCAUAGUCCUGUUAUAUUGUCAUGUUGUUGUCAUAGGGUGAAGUGGGAGAGGUGUAAAAACGAUUGUCUUGCUAGAGGACAUACUUUGGGAAAUGCCACAGUUGAAUUCAGAAACCCUCAACAAAUGUAUUAGAAAUAAAGGGUUUAGGGAGGGGUGGGGGGGGGGGGGUGGAUCUUCUUUUUUCUCAAAAUAUUUGUCCCGAGCACUUACUGAAAUUUGUUAUGAACACAUAGCACUUCAUCUUUUGAAUUUCCUUGUGUGUAUUAAGGAUUAAAUACAAGAGUGGUCAAGAUGAAUUACCACAAACGGCCUACAAAAUGUAGGGUAAUUUAAAGAAAGACCACAGGAGUUUAAUACAUGGUCAUUAAACGUGUGGUCGUUCAAAUAUGACCGUGGGGAUUUAGUACAGUUGGUGGUCAAUAAAAAAAGAACCAACUUUUUGUUCUCAAAGUGGAACAUCCAUAUUAGGUCGUUAGAGGUGGGCUGGAAAACAGGGGUCAAAUAUUCAUAUAUUAAAUCAUAUCAAAUAUAUUAAUUUUUAUACUCAUCACCAGAUAUUCCAUCCAAAAUAUUGUGAGGUCAUAAAAGAAAGACAUCCCAAACUGAUAUUAAAAGAGAGAUUAAAAUGCCCCGAUCGUAAAUCGCUAUCCUGGUCAAAAAUGAAGCGUUGCUGAUGGACUGGGUUGGAUGUCGGCUGGACAAGACCAUAUCUGGCAUACAGGGGGGUGUGUGUGCGUCGGUUCUAAUUCCACUGGCUCUACUACAAUGAGACCAGAUAAAAACCCUAAGCAUUACUGUGACUCUAACCCGUUUCUGUUCAAAUAUCUGUGAAUAUACCAUCCACUUCUGAUCGUCCAAUUAAAAUGAACCAAUGUAUAAAAACUAUCAUACUGAUGACGACAAUAAAAUAUUUCAUUAGAGGAGCACAAGAAACAUUUCUGAUAUCCUUGUUCUGGUGUCUGCCUG
ensembl:lncRNA